UUUUUCUCAGAGCAGAGUAGAGCAGAUGUUUCAGGUUGCUGCCAUCAGAGAGCAGUGACUUGACCUCAGUGUCUUAUUUAGUGUACUACUCCCACAUUGAACUCUACUUUUUGGGUCCACGCACCUACUUAUUUCUAAACAUCUAGAGUGCAACAAUACCCAUGCCUCCUAAUGUGCCAUAUAACCUGUAUCUCGCCUAUUGUGUGUGUGUGUGUGUGUGUGUGUGUGUGAGUGUUCGUGAAUGUGUUCACGCAGAUAUAAGAAGUUGGGGUUGGGGUUGAUGAUCCACAUGAUGGUGAUGGACCAGGACAGCUCUGGACCUCCUGACUGGCAGCUCCAUCCUCAACCUCCCUUCCUGUCCUUCACACAUGUGCAGGCAGAGGCAGUUUUCUGAAGGAUGGUUAAUGUCAGUAUCAACAUGUUGUGAUGGAGGCUUCCACCUGAGCUGAACACAGAAACUUGCACACAGUGAUGGAAGCAGUCGUUCCUGUUCAGCAUUGAUAUGCCGGUAAUGGGUUUGAUGAGCCACAGCGUGGUGAUGGGCAAUCAGCAUCAGGACCAGGGCCGCUCACAAGGAGAACCUCCUGCCCUGCCUCUUCAUCCUCAACCUCCAAUCUUCCUGCUCUUCACACAUGUGCAGGCACAGAGCCAGUUUUCAGAGGGAGGGCUGAUGACACCAGCAACUUCGGAUCUGAACCUGAUCAACCCAGCACCAACCACUGUGCCGCUCCUCCUCUGCCAACUGCACCACAUGGCUCCACCAUCUCAAAAAGGCACAGACACUACUCCACUUCCUGCGAAGGAUGAGAGAAGAGCCGACCUCCCCACAACGGCACUCACCACCUUCUACAGGGGUGUCAUUGAGAGCAUCCUGACCAGCAGCCUCUCUGUCUGGCAUGGCAGCCGUCAAGCUGAAGACUAGAAGGCAGUACAGAGAGUGGUGAGGACAGCAGAAAAGCUCAUAAGAUCACCCCUACCUGUUCUCCCUACUACCAUCAGGGAAGCGCUAGCCCAGCAUGCAGUGCUGCAAAAGCACACUGGGAAACGACUUCUUUCCACAAGCCAUCAGACUCCUCAACGCACUGAAGAAAACCACAUGAAUAACCAAGGACACGGGAGAAUAUUCCAUGAACACUUCUUUCACCAUGCCACUUACACUUUACUCAUUGCACCUUGUAUACAGCAUCUUCACACCACCUGUAUGAACUCCUCCUGCCGUGUGUGUGUGUCCACUGUGUUUGUGUAUUUAUUGUCCAUCAGUAUGUUAAUCUUAUUAUUGCACACUGUUUGGGUGUCUGUAUUUAUAGUAUGUAUCAGUCUAUAUUUAAUGCCAAUGCCUUAUUUUUAGUUAUUAGUUAAAUGCACAUUGGAGACUGGUCAAACACAAUUUCAAACUUUGUGUUAACUCUCUUGUUGACCGUUCACACUUCAUAGUGUAAAAGUAAACAGAAAUAAAUUCACAUUUCA